rnacentral:rRNA from 1 species
GAUGAACGCUGGCGGCGUGCCUAAUACAUGCAAGUCGAGCGAACAGAUGAGGAGCUUGCUCCUCUGACGUUAGCGGCGGACGGGUGAGUAACACGUGGAUAACCUACCUAUAAGACUGGGAUAACUUCGGGAAACCGGAGCUAAUACCGGAUAAUAUAUUGAACCGCAUGGUUCAAUAGUGAAAGACGGUUUUGCUGUCACUUAUAGAUGGAUCCGCGCCGCAUUAGCUAGUUGGUAAGGUAACGGCUUACCAAGGCAACGAUGCGUAGCCGACCUGAGAGGGGGAUCGGCCACACUGGAACUGAGACACGGUCCAGACUCCUACGGGAGGCAGCAGUAGGGAAUCUUUCGCAAUGGGCGAAAGCCUGACGGAGCAACGCCGCGUGAGUGAUGAAGGUCUUCGGAUCGUAAAACUCUGUUAUUAGGGAAGAACAAAUGUGUAAGUAACGAUGCACGUCUUGACGGUACCUAAUCAGAAAGCCACGGCUAACUACGU